rnacentral:antisense_RNA from 1 species
UGUGGGAGCUGGCUUGCCUGCGAUAGCGGCGGUUCAGUUAAAGAUUCAUUGACUGACACACCGCUAUCGCAGGCAAGCCAGCUCCCACA